UACGUAGGGGGCAAGCGUUGUCCGGAAUCAUUGGGCGUAAAGAGCGUGUAGGCGGCCCCGAUAAGUCCGCCGUGAAAGUCCAGGGCUCAACCCUGGAAUGCCGGUGGAAACUGUCGGGCUGGAGUCCGGAAGAGGCGAGUGGAAUUCCUGGUGUAGCGGUGAAAUGCGUAGAGAUCGGGAGGAACACCGGCGGCGAAGGCGGCUGGCCUGGACC
rnacentral:rRNA from 1 species